CUCUUGGGGUUGUAGGACACUCUGUACGGAGUUACAAAGGAACGAGGUAGAUGAAGAGGUCUGGAAAGGCCCGCCAUAGGAGGUAACAGCCCUGUAGUCAAAACUUCGUUCUCUCCUGAGUGGAUCCUGAGUACGGCGGAACACGUGAAAUUCCGUCGGAAUCCGGGAGGACCAUCUCCCAAGGCUAAAUACUCCCUAGUGACCGAUAGUGAACCAGUACCGUGAGGGAAAGGUGAAAAGCACCCCGGAAGGGGAGUGAAAGAGAUCCUGAAACCGUGUGCCUACAAGUAGUCAGAGCCCGUUAACGGGUGAUGGCGUGCCUUUUGUAGAAUGAACCGGCGAGUUACGAUC
rnacentral:rRNA from 1 species